GACGAACGCUGGCGGCGUGCUUAACACAUGCAAGUCGAACGGAAAGGCCCUGCUUUUGUGGGGUGCUCGAGUGGCGAACGGGUGAGUAACACGUGAGUAACCUGCCCCUGACUUUGGGAUAACUUCAGGAAACUGGGGCUAAUACCGGAUAGGAGCUCCUGCUGCUUGGUGGGGGUUGGAAAGUUUCGGCGGUUGGGGAUGGACUCGCGGCUUAUCAGCUUGUUGGUGGGGUAGUGGCUUACCAAGGCUUUGACGGGUAGCCGGCCUGCGAGGGUGACCGGCCACAUUGGGACUGAGAUACGGCCCAGACUCCUACGGGAGGCAGCAGUGGGGAAUAUUGCACAAUGGGCGGAAGCCUGAUGCAGCAACGCCGCGUGCGGGAUGACGGCCUGCGGGUUGUAAACCGCUUUCGCCUGUGACGAAGCGUGAGUGACGGUAAUGGGUAAAGAAGCACCGGCUAACUACGUG
rnacentral:rRNA from 1 species